AUUUACAAGCUCUUCUCCCAGUCGCUGCCAUGCUGCUCUUGUCCAGGUCUUGGUAGCACACCAGAAGGAUCUUUGCAACCUUGGUGUCGAUGCAAGCUUCUUCCAGAUCGGAGUCGGCUAUGGAUUCCUGCAAGAAAUUGGUAAAAUUUUUCUCUAGAGGUAUCUUUGCUAUUUGUGACUGAACGUAUUUCGAGUGCCGAAAGCUGAGGAUCCGUCUGUGCUGCUGUUGCUUCUUUUGGCAUCACGUAGAGGUUUCCCAGCACGUAGACUGCUGCCUCCUCUUUCACGUCGAAGAUGGCUGGUGUGAGCAAAUUUACCAGUGAGUGUUCAUGCAAGCAGGCCAAAAUCUACCUUCAACAACGCUCUAUGAUUGGUGCGCUCCAACAACACCACCAUUACUACGAUCCCUACUGCGGCGUCAUCGUGUACUUUAGAGUCAUAGAUGGAGCUUGUGUCGAGGAGAAUCAGUAAAAUUUAUGUCUAGUGGAAAGGUGGGUAUUUUUCUCA